GCCCCAGCUAGGCAGGGCCGCAAUCCUGCCGAAAAGCCAGUUCCCCCGCUGGCCUGCUGGGGCUCCUAAUUUGGGG
rfam:Acidovorax temperans strain KY4 Contig_46, whole genome shotgun sequence.